AAAGGGGUAAAUUUUUAAAUACCACUUCUGUAGUUUCGCACUUAUUUAUUUUACUAUCAUGUGGUUGGUUUCGUUUUUAUUUUUUCGUCAGCUUCUCUAUUAAUAUUUUGUUAAAUUAUAUAUAAAAAUUUUCAAAUACUCCACCUAGAGUUAAUGAAUAUUCACUUUAGUAUCAUAAAGUUUUAACUUUAUUAUUGAUUUAACAAAAAAAAAAUUAGUGAAAUCAAUAAUAAAAAAAUAAAAAUAAAACCAUAAAAUACUAAAUUAAUACAUUUUUAACUACAGAAUGAUAAAGUGAGAAAGUGUGAAACCACAUGAAUGUUAUUUGAAGUUUUUCUUUUUUUUGGCGAAAGUAAAGUAAUAUUUGCUCCUUAGGCAAUCAUAUUGACAAACAUGAGUAGAUAAAUUAGUAGGAAAAAUUUUAAAUAUCAUUUCUGUAGUUCGCGUUUUCUCACUUUAGUAUUCCGUGGUUUAAAGUGAAUCACUUUCGUACCCUAUGAUUUUAUUUUUUUCUUUUUAUUGUACCAUUCACUAAUUAUUUUCGUUAAAUCAGUGACAAAGUUAAAACUAAAUAGUAAUAAAGUGAAUAUUCGAUAAACUAUAGAUGAGAUAUCUAAAAUUUUUUGUAUAUGAUUUAACGAAAAGUUAAUGGAGUAAUUGACGAUAAGAAAAAAAUUAAAAUCACAAGACACUAAAUUGAUAAACUUCAAAUCACAGAAUACUAAAAUGAGAAAGUGCGAAACUUUUUCUCUAUUUAUCUUAUUUUAGCGUAUUUUUCUUUGCCCCGGCUGUCUCACCUUGUAGUCAAUUUUAUUUUCUAAAUAAAUAAAGCAAUAACACGCUAUUUUUUCUUAAAAAAAAAAUUACAAAAUUACAUUAGUGAUAUUUGAAGUUUACGAAAAAUUAGUAAAGAUUGACAGAUGGUGCACGGAUGUACAGAU
rnacentral:lncRNA from 1 species